AACCAACUAAUCUUUAUUCCACGCACCAGAAACCACCACCAAACUCCUUGAUAACCGCUAACAAAAUCGUCCUUUUUUUUUCGCCAUCGCACCGCAAAACCGUUCGAUCAUCGAACUCCGCUUCGUCCGAUCGCUCGCUCUCUCGAAUUUCGGUUCGCUCGUUCUCCUCUCGCAACCAGCCGCAAUUUGUUCUCACGGCCGCCCGUUUAGCCGCGGCUACACGUAGCCUUAUCGAAAACUGAUAAUCGUAGCGGCCAAGGUCGCUACAUCUCAUUACACUUUUUUUUUUUUUUCGAUAGCAAGAAAAUUUGUAUAUGUGCUUUCUAUUUCAAGCAUGCUGUCUCCUUGUUACCAAUUCUGUUCAAUUAUCCUACCACUUCCGUCGCAAUAAACGUGCACAGUGUUUCAACAACGUGCAGUGUAUAAGCAAUCGCUUCGUCUCUCAUAAAGGAUCUCUCGCUUCUUGGCUUAUUAGCAUCGCUCGCAACCUAAGUGCUGUCUAAUAAUUUGCCGUGUGCCUGUUCAAUCCUCUACUAAGAGCAAUCUCUGGGGGAGCAUUCGAUCAACUUUGUCCUAUCAAAUUCAUCCGCUCAACCGCACCAGAUCUACCUUUAAAUUGAACAUCGAAUAUUAUGCCGCUAUGCCAUGAACUCGGUUGUUUGCUUUCCGCUUCUCUCCGUGCGUGUAGCGUUCUACCCGUGCGUGCAAAGUGUAUGUGUGUACAGUGGUGACGUGUGAUGUGUGCCUUAAAGUGUAGUUAGCCUGCCAAACGUUUUUUUUUUUUUUUUUUUUUCACUAAUUUUACAAAUUUUUAUUAUGGAUAUGCAUAAAAAUUAAUAUAAUAAGCUUAUAAAUCGAUAACAUCCUAAUUUUAAACCCGAUCAGCUAAAUUAGCAUUAUUAUAGAAAUGUUGAUGCAUAUCCAU